rnacentral:rRNA from 1 species
GACGAACGCUGGCGGCGUGCUUAACACAUGCAAGUCGAACGGAAAGGCCUUGUUUUUGUGGUGUGCUCGGGUGGCGAACGGGUGAGUAACACGUGAGUAACCUGCCCUUUCCUUUGGCAUAACGUCAGGAAACUGGGGCUAAUACCGGAUAUGAGCUCCUGCUGCAUGGUGGGGGUUGGAAAGUUUCGGCGGGUGGGGUUGGAGUGGCGGCUUAUCUGCUUGUUGGUGGGGUAGUGGCUUACCAAGGCUUUGACGGGUAGGCGGCCGGAGAGGGGGACCGGCGACACUGGGACGGAGAUACGGCGCAGAAGCCUACGGGAGGAAGGAGUGGGGAGUGGUGCACAAUGGGCGGGAGCCUGAGGGAGCAACGCCGGGUGCGGGAUGACGGCCUUCGGGUGGUAAAGCGCUUGCGACUGUGACGAAGCGGGAGUGACGGUAAUGGGAGAAGAAGCACCGGCUAACUACGUG